rnacentral:rRNA from 1 species
UGGCGAACGGGUGAGUAACGCGUGAGGAACCUGCCUCAAAGAGGGGGACAACAGUUGGAAACGACUGCUAAUACCGCAUAAGCCCACGGCUCGGCAUCGAGCAGAGGGAAAAGGAGCAAUCCGCUUUGAGAUGGCCUCGCGUCCGAUUAGCUAGUUGGUGAGGUAACGGCCCACCAAGGCGACGACCGGUAGCCGGACUGGGAGGUUGAACGGCCACAUUGGGACUGAGACACGGCCCAG